AAAAACUUGAGGGCGGUGACGGAAUGUCAAAAAUUCUGUUGUGGGUCGCAGCUAGCGCCGCCAACAAAGAAAUUAAAAUUUAAAAUGCCUGAGGGUGUGAGUGGCAGUUGAAGGAAAGAAGAAAGAAAGAACGUUUAUUAUAUUGAAGGCAGUACGAUGGAAUGACAUAAAAAAUACGGAAAAGAUCUUCCUACCAAACAGACACUGAAAGUCACCCUAAACCCAACAUAGACAAACACAGAACCUAAAACUUCACACAAACAUAACGCCACCGAUCUACCAUCAUACAUCAAGCAGCAGAGCGAAGCCAUCUAAUAAAGCUAGUCUCAUAAAAAUGGCCACAUAAUUUCAAAUCUUGUACGACCGCUAGUCGCAAGUCGGUGUGACCGUCACGGCGAGCGCACAUCUGAAUUAUUCAUUGAACGUAAUUAAAUGUCUUGUGCUGUAAAGCAUUGACACUAGCUUGUGGGAUUUGUGUGGGGCUUUUGAUCGGGUGACUCAAAACAGAGUGUAGUAAGAAGGAUAUGUUGGACUAAUUGAUAGAAUUGAGGAUAACGACUCGAAGAGCUGUUUUGUUUAUGGGCUGAUUAUUAAAUCACUAUUGGUGACAUUGGAGGAAGUAUAGAGAGCAAAAUAUGUUUCUUGUUUUGUAUACAAUUAAAAUUGAAUUUGAUAUUUGUGAAAAUUAAACUUUAUCAAUCUUUCUGACUAAGUAACUGUUCUCAAGAGCAAUAAAUCAUUUUGAAAUUUAGAAUUACUUAA